rnacentral:miRNA from 1 species
UGGGGAAAGGCAGGCUACUGG